UACGGGGGGGGGCAAGCGUUGUUCGGAAUUACUGGGCGUAAAGGGCUCGUAGGCGGCCAACUAAGUCCGACGUGAAAUCCCAAGGCUUAACCUUGGAACUGCGUCGGAUACUGGAUGGCUUGAAUCCGGGAGAGGGAUGCAGAAUUCCAGGUGUAGCAGUGAAAUGCGUAGAUAUCUGGAGAAAUACCGGUGGCGAAGGCGGCAUCCUGGACCGGCAUUGACGCUGAUGAGCGAAAGCUAGGGGAGCAAACGGGG
rnacentral:rRNA from 1 species